CAUAAAAGCAUGAUUUAGAAAUCAUUUACAAAAGUCAGUAAACUCAGAGCCACAUAUUCACAGAAAACAUUUUAGACGUCAAACACGUAUCUCAGAAUGAAACGUCUUGCCUUUCCUACAGACAGUCCGCAUUUGGCACAGUGCUGAGCAUUAGAUUUGCACUCACAUUAUCUACUCAAGUAUAUAAUCAAAUAGUUAAUUCAGUUGUAUCUACACAAAUAUCCAAACACAGUAAUAAAAUAUCAGGGAUAUUUUGGUGGGCAAGAGACAGCUAGGGUGGAGAAAAGCAGUUGUAUGCAGUUUGGGUCUUGGUUGUGGGAGGUGAGUUGUUUCAUUUCUUUAUCAGAAAUUCUAUCUGGCAGACCAAAUGUUUAAUUGCUUUCUUCGACAGCUUCCUUGCCUCAGGUUUGCAUCAGAAUCCAGCAGCUGGAAGACUCUUAAGGAUAUUUUUUCCCCCAGUUGAGCUCAGACAAUGUCAAUCAUUUGUAACUUGAACUCUAAAACUAGAAUUGGUAUCUGUAGAGACUGGCAGAUUCUGAAUUCACUUUUCAGUAGUUGCUAGUGCCUCUGGUUGUAUGUUUGCCCAGUCGUCCGUCAGGUGUUUCUGGAGCGCCCGGCGCAUGUGCCAGACAUGGAGCCACCCACUGGAGACUCAAAUACAGGUACGGGGCAGUGCGUGUCCACAAGACGUGCACAGCCCAGAUCAUUUUACAACGAUAUGGGAGAUCCACUGGAUGAAAUGGGCUUAAGAUAUUUUUUCAGCUUGGGGCCCCUGGGCGACUCAGUUGGUUAAGCGUCCUGAUCCUGGGACUGAGCCCUGCAUCAGGGUCUCCACUCCACGGGGAGUCUGCUUCUCCCUCUAUCCCUCUCCCUGCUCAUGCGCUCGUGCUCUAUAUCUCUCUCAAGGAAAUAAAUAAAAUCUUAACAUUUUUUUCAUCUUUCUUGAUAUAAAGUUGACAUAUAACCGCAUCAGUUUAAGACAUACAACAUAAUGAUUUGCUAUCUGUAUGUCUUGCAGCAUGAUGACCGCAGUAAGGUGAGGUAGCACAGCCCUCACUUCACAUAGUUAUAAUUUGAAAUAUAAUUUGUCUUAAGCUUUUAAUGGAGCAGUGACGGAUGUAGACAUGGUUUCAGCAAUACCAGAGCUGAGUUUUGUGUGUCCAAGAGGUUAACUUUGGGAGUUACCCUCUUGAAAAAAGGUAACACGAAAAAGUAGGUACAAAAGUGAAAAUUUAUUCAAAAUGAAAAAAGAAGACGUUACACAGUUUUUAAAGUUGGCAGCUACAAUAAAUAUCAUAAAUUCAGGACAAAUUAUGAUUUAUUUUUUAAUAAUUAACUGCCUGAUCUAUUUUGUAUUCAUUUUCUAGGAUUUACCAUAAUGAAACACCAGGGACUGGUAGCUUAAACAAUGCACGUUUAUUUUCUUUCAGCUUUCCUACAGCUUACGGUUCUGAAGGCUGGAAGUUCAAGGUCACUGUACUGGCCGGGAGGAGGUGGGGUGCUCUGAUGUCUCUCUCCCUCUGGCCUGCAGAUGGCUGCCCACUUCCCACCCCUUUAUUAGCUGUUCCUUUGUGUGCAGGAGUUCCUUGUGUCUCUGUGUGGGUCCUACCUCCUCGUAUAAAGGUACCAGUUAGACUGGACUAGGUCAUACCUUAAAGACUGUGUUUUUAACUUAAUACCCUCUUUAAAGAUCCUAUCUUCAUAUAUAGUCACAUUCCGAGUUACUAGGGAUGAGGCCUCACCCAUUGGAAUUUGGCGGGGGGGGGGGUGCAGGACUCAAUUCAGCCUAUCACAUACUUCAGAACACUUCUUUCUGAUUAUUCCUUGUGUUUGGCAGAGUCUUCCAGAGAAACUUAACCAAUAGAAUGUGUCUAUCUAACAUUCAACUAUUUUUUAUCUACUUAGCUCUCAUCUAUCUAAAGGGAGAAAGAUAUUUUAAGGAAAAGCCUCAUGCAAUUGCAGGUAUCUGAUAACUCCAAAAUGAACAGGAUAGGUGAGCAGGCUGAAGACCCAGGGAAGAGUUGCAGUUUGAGUCUGAAGGCGGCCAUUCUGCUGGCGGACUCACUCAAGGAAGGUAAAGUGUAUAUGCUACCUUACUUGAGCCUUCCAUUUUGAAUUGGUUGGAUGACAACUGAAAUUUCUACUUCAGUUUUCUUCCCUGUGUUUCCUGGAAAUCAGGAGCAGCUCUUGGCAAGCAGGGGGCCACUCCUCGCCCAGUGAGGACCACCAGGCCAACCUUGCAGAGCAUGAAGAAGGAAGCAGAUCCAGUGUGGAGCCUUCUUCGCUUGAGUAGCUGACAGAGAUUCCACUGCCAAGUAAUGGAGAAUCUGGCACAAUCUCUGAAGAGCCUCAGCCAACUGGAACUUUAGAAGCCACAGCUUUCUUUUGAGCUCCCCCUCAAGAUGUGUAUAAUCAUUGAGCUUGUUUUGCUUUCUCCCUGUUCUUGUUUAAAAGCCAGAUUUCUCCCUGGACAGACAGCAAAAUCUCAGUCCUCUGGGGUUGCCAUAAGGGCAGAGAGGAACAGGGAGAACAAGCUUGGGGAGGGCAGGGUGGUAUCGGGUAACCUUUCCUGAAGUUGAUCUUUAGAGUAUCCAAGCCACUGUGUUCUUUUGGACAGUCUUCAACCAAGCGUUUCCCACAGUGCCAAACCUCAGGAUAUCAAAGAACCACUCACAAAAUAUUCUCUCUCUCAGAAGAAGCAGAAUGAUUUUGCUAAGAGGACAUUUCUGCCAACACAUGUCACAUAGACUGAGACAGUAAAAAAAAAAAAAAAAAAAAAAAAAAAAAAAAAAAAGAUUAAAAAAAGGCCUAAAGAGAAUGAGAGUGAGUUUUCAGUGGAAAGAACACAGUCACUCCUCUUCUAAGAGUUCCUGUGAUUGGCCAACCUAAGCUACUUUGGUGGAUGUCACCUACUCUGUGUCCCUCAAAAAUGACUAAAACAAUAGGAAACAUUGUACCUCAGUGACCAUAACUGGUACCACACCUGGGUAGCCAUCAAUAUCCAUAAUCAUGCAUUUUUUAGCUCUCACUUUGUUUUCUUCAUUCAAUGGUAUUUCAGUUUCCAUUGUAUCUGAUAGAAGUGUCCAGGGGUUAAGUGCUAUAAAGAACCACAACAGAAAAAUGACAACCAUAUAAGCUACAAACUCAAAACCUGUUGCUGGGACCUAGCCAGAGGUAAAUGGUCAAAUGGACACACCCUGUUCUUCUGAAUACACCAAUCAUAACAUGACAACUUCCCUGAAUAUUUGACAGAUCUGUGAAGCUGGUCACUCCAGCAAUUCUGGCAGGCCAUUCUGUAUUAGUACAGAAAGCGGACCUACAUCCAUUUGGUUGAGUGUUGAGGCCAAAAGUACCAUCACAAGGAUGAUCAACACCAUCACCCAUCACCCCUAAGGAGUCCUGUCUAAGACAGCAAUGAUCACCAUCAGGGCACGAAAAGUUGAGUCAGAAAUGAGGAUACCAUACAUACCAGCCAUGGGGCUGAAGGCCACACCCAACACAUGCACAAUACGAAACCUUACAGCUUUCAAGAAGGUGGUUGAGACAGUACGCUGAUUACUGAUGACAGAAAAAUCUAGAGUUGAGGCUGUUGUCAGUACUGUCUUGACAGAGCUUAUAAAAAUGCUGAAGAUACCAACAACAAACUCAAGACAGGACAGAUCCAUUGGGUCAUAUGUGCUUGUUGUCACAAAGCUUCUGAAUGACCCUAAACAGAUUUUACCCUUGGUGCCCCAUUUAAUUUCUCUUGUCAUAUUUAUCUUUAAAAGCUUCAAGAAGAGCUACACCCACAAAGUUCUUAAUUAAUUAAUAGACUUCAGGUGACUAUGAAGGAAUUACUGGAAGGAUACUUACACAAAAAAAUUUCUGUGUGAUCUGUUAAGUCUGAAUCAGGUAUUAUUUUAUGCAUUGUUUGAGAGAGAUGCCAGAUUUUUACUUAAUACAUCUGUUAUAAAACUAAUGUUAUAAUUAAAAGCUCCCUCCUCUUUUUGAAAUUGAAAAAAAAAAAU